rnacentral:tRNA from 1 species
GCGUUAGUAGUUGAAUGGCACAAUAUGGCCUUCCCAAGGCUAAGAUCGGGGUUCAAUUCCCCGCUAGCGCA